GACGAACGCUGGCGGCGUGCUUAACACAUGCAAGUCGAACGAUGAAGAAGAGAAACGCGAACUUCGGUUCAACUUUCACUUCGGAUUAGUGGCAGACGGGUGAGUAACGCGUGAGCAACCUACCUCUUACAAAGGGAUAGCCUCGGGAAACCGUGAUUAAUACCAUAUGACACAUUCAUAAGGCAUCUUAAGAAUGUUAAAGCUACGGCGGUAAGAGAUGGGCUCGCGUCCCAUUAGCUAGUUGGUGAGGUAACGGCCCACCAAGGCGACGAUGGGUAACCGGCCUGAGAGGGUGAACGGUCACAUUGGAACUGAGACACGGUCCAAACUCCUACGGGAGGCAGCAGUGGGGAAUAUUGCACAAUGGAGGGAACUCUGAUGCAGCGACGCCGCGUGAGCGAUGAAGGAAUUCGUUUCGUAAAGCUCUGUUCUAUGGGAAGAAAAGGACUGUACCAUAGGAGAAAGCCCCGGCUAAAUACGUG
rnacentral:rRNA from 1 species